rnacentral:rRNA from 1 species
GAUCCUGGCUCAGGAUGAACGCUAGCGACAGGCUUAACACAUGCAAGUCGAGGGGCAGCAUGAACUUAGCUUGCUAAGUUUGAUGGCGACCGGCGCGCGGGUGAGUAACGCGUAUGCAACUUGCCUAUCAGAGGAGAAUAGCUCAUCGAAAGAUGAAUUAAUGCUCCAUAAAACAGGGGUUCCGCAUGGGAAUAUUUGUUAAAGAUUUAUCGGUGAUGGAUGGGG